rnacentral:rRNA from 1 species
GGGCCCGCACAAGCGGUGGAGCAUGUGGUUUAAUUCGAAGCAACGCGAAGAACCUUACCAGGUCUUGACAUACCAUGAAAAGCUAAGAGAUUAGUCUUUCCCUUCGGGGACAUGGAUACAGGUGGUGCAUGGUUGUCGUCAGCUCGUGUCGUGAGAUGUUGGGUUAAGUCCCGCAACGAGCGCAACCCUUAUUAUCAGUUGCCAGCAUUAAGUUGGGCACUCUGGUGAGACUGCCGGUGACAAACCGGAGGAAGGUGGGGACGACGUCAAAUCAUCAUGCCCCUUAUGACCUGGGCUACACACGUGCUACAAUGGUCGGUACAACGUGUUGCGAACUCGCGAGGGCAAGCAAAUCACUUAAAACCGAUCUCAGUUCGGAUUGUAGGCUGCAACUCGCCUACAUGAAGCUGGAAUCGCUAGUAAUCGCGGAUCAGCAUGCCGCGGUGAAUACG